rnacentral:rRNA from 1 species
AGUCCUCGCUUUUCACCACCGUAAGGUGGUGGUGGAAUAAGUGCUGGGCAAGACCGGUGCCAGCCGCCGCGGUAAUACCGGCAGCACGAGUGAUGACCGCUAUUAUUGGGCCUAAAGCGUCCGUAGCUGGCCACGCAAGUCUAUCGGGAAAUCUGCGCGCUUAACGCGCAGGCGUCCGGUGGAAACUGCGUGGCUUGGGACCGGAAGACCAGAGGGGUACGUCCGGGGUAGGAGUGAAAUCCCGUAAUCCUGGACGGACCACCGGUGGCGAAAGCGCCUCUGGAAGACGGAUCCGACGGUGAGGGACGAAAGCUCGGGUCACGAACCGGAUUAGAUACCCGGGUAGUCCGAGCUGUAAACGAUGCCCGCUAAGUUUGGUACAGGCCACGAGCCUGUGCUGAGCUGUAGGGAAGCCGAGAAGCGGACCGCCUGGGAAGUACGUCUGCAAGGAUGAAACUUAAAGGAAUUGGCGGGGGGAGCACAA